GAUGAACGCUGGCGGCGUGCCUAAUACAUGCAAGUCGAGCGAACGGACGGGAAGCUUGCUUCUCUGAUGUUAGCGGCGGACGGGUGAGUAACACGUGUAUAACCUACCUAUAAGACUGGGAUAACUUCGGGAAACCGGAUCUAAUACCGGAUAAUAUUUUGAACCGCAUGGUUCAAAAGUUAAAGACGGUCUUGCUGUCACUUAUAGAUGGAUACGCGCUGCAUUAGCUAGUUGGUAAGGUAACGGCUUACCAAGGCUACGAUGCAUAGCCGACCUGAGAGGGUGAUCGGCCACCCUGGAAGUGAGAAACGGUCCAGACUCCUACGGGAGGCAGCAGUAGGGAAUCUUACGCAAUGGGCGAAAGCCUGACGGAGCAAAGCCGCGGGAGUGAUGAAGGACUUCGGAUCGUAAAGCGCUGUUAUUAGGGAAGAACAUAUGUGUAAGUAACUGUGCACAUCUUGACGGUACCUAAUCAGAAAGCCACGGCUAACUACGUG
rnacentral:rRNA from 1 species